rnacentral:rRNA from 1 species
UUGUAGCUUGCUAUGGUAUAACUUAGUGGCAGACGGGUGAGUAAUGUAUAGGAAUCUACCUAGUAGUACGGAAUAAUUGUUGGAAACGGCAACUAAUACCGUAUACGCCCUACGGGGGAAAAAUUUAUUGCUAUUAGAUGAGCCUAUAUUAGAUUAGCUAGUUGGUGAGGUAAUAGCUUACCAAGGCAAUGAUCUAUAGCUGAUCUGAGAGGAUGAUCAGCCACACUGGAACUGAGAUACGGUCCAGACUCCUACGGGAGGCAGCAGUGGGGAAUAUUGGACAAUGGGCGAAAGCCUGAUCCAGCCAUGCCGCAUGAGUGAAGAAGGCCUUUGGGUUGUAAAGCUCUUUUAGUGAGGAAGAUAAUGACGGUACUCACAGAAGAAGUCCUGGCUAACUCCGUGCCAGCAGCCGCGGUAAUACGGGGAGGGCUAGCGUUAUUCGGAAUUAUUGGGCGUAAAGAGCGCGUAGGCUGGUUAGUAAGUUAAAAGUGAAAUCCCGAAGCUUAACCUUGGAAUUGCUUUUAAAACUGCUAACCUAGAGAUUGAAAGAGGAUAGAGGAAUUCCUAGUGUAGAGGUGAAAUUCGUAAAUAUUAGGAGGAACACCAGUGGCGAAGGCGUCUAUCUGGUUCAAAUCUGACGCUGAGGCGCGAAGGCGUGGGGAGCAAACAGGAUUAGAUACCCUGGUAGUCCACGCUGUAAACGAUGAAUGUUAAAUAUGGGAAGUUUACUUUCUGUAUUACAGCUAACGCGUUAAACAUUCCGCCUGGGGACUACGGUCGCAAGAUUAAAACUCAAAGGAAUUGACGGGGACCCGCACAAGCGGUGGAGCAUGUGGUUUAAUUCGAUGCAACGCGAAAAACCUUACCACUCCUUGACAUGGAAAUUAUACCUAUUC